GAAAUGCGAUACGUAGUGUGAAUUGCAGAAUCCAGUGAACCAUCGAAUCUUUGAACGCACAUUGCGCUCGUUGGUAUUCCGACGAGCAUGCCUGUUUGAGUGUCAUGAAAACCUCACCCGCAUUCGUUUGCGGAUGGACUUGGGCCUGACGUUGUCUUGCCCGAAAAUGAUUGUGGAACGCACGACCGAACUUUCGUCAUAUCUAUUUCGUCUGUUCAGCGAACGCACCCACUUCCAAACCUUUCCAACUUGGCCUCAAAUCAGGUAGGGUUACCCGCUGAACUUAA
rnacentral:misc_RNA from 1 species